AAAACGACUCUCGGCAACGGAUAUCUCGGCUCUCGCAUCGAUGAAGAACGCAGCGAAAUGCGAUACUUGGUGUGAAUUGCAGGAUCCCGCGAACCAUCGAGUCUUUGAACGCAAGUUGCGCCCGAAGCCUUUCGGCCGAGGGCACGUCUGCCUGGGUGUCACUC
rnacentral:rRNA from 10 species